GAUGAACGCUAGCGGCAGGCUUAACACAUGCAAGUUGAGGGGUAGAAGUCUUCGGACUUUGAGACCGGCGCACGGGUGCGUAACGCGUAUGCAAUCUACCUUUUACAGAGGGAUAGCCCAGAGAAAUUUGGAUUAAUACCUCAUAGUAUAAUGACCUGGCAUCAGGAUGUUAUUAAAGUCACAACGGUAAAAGAUGAGCA
rnacentral:rRNA from 1 species